CCCAGAGGAAGAGGGAAGCCUGGCCAAUGGGAGACGCCGAGGGACGGAACAAUAAGGGCCCUCUCUCUGGCCCGGCCUUCUGUGCGCCGCUGCAAAUUUAAUCUGAGAGCCAGCAUUCCAGCCACAAAGGGGAGAGGGAGCCGGUGCAGGAUUCCCCUAUGCUGUGCUAAGAUGGAGCCCACUGCGCUGUGGUAUGCUGUGCUGGGCUCAGCUAGGACUGAAGUGCAGCUCCUGUGACCUUGAAUGACACACAGUUCAGAGGAAGAGUGUGUGAGUCCUCUCCUGAGAGCGCUGCAUUGUAACAAAAGCUUUACUCGCACAAGUAACACAACUUUUAUUCAUCUGAAACCAAACAGAGGCCAGUCUGUACAAUCCUAUAGCCAUCUUCGCCAUUUAUGCCGGGCUAGAUUUUAUUGUGAUGUAAAUCAGUCACCCAAACAUUCCGCAAUCAUUGACUGGCAAUGGCCUCCGAAUUCCUUUUCCCGUUGCCGUGGUUUCACUAUAGCCCCACUCUCCGGCGACUACAAAACCCCGAAACGUAGCCCCUUUUGUGUUCCCUUCAGGCCUUUCACACAGACUAAGUGACAGGAACAUGAGGGAAAACAUCUUUGGCCAAAAAAAGUCUAAUAGUUAAAGAACACGAUGAUGAGAAGCAGUAUCACAAUGUCGGUUUCAUGUCCGGAGGUCAGGCCAAUAAUAAGCGCAUUUGUUCAGUUAUAAGUGCGCAUUGAAAAAGGCAUUGCUUAAGGAUCAACUGAGCUCGUCCUCCAGCAGGAGAAGCGAGGAGGUUAGGGGGUACGCAGACUGCGUCGGCCGGUCUCCGGUGACGCACAGCGGGUAUGUGGAAUGUUCCGGAGCCGGGACUACCCCUGACGCUCGCUCUGGGUGACGCGUAUCCACCUGACAGGACUCCUACACGGCCGUAAACUCUCUUCGUAAUGGUAUUAAGUGGGCGAGCUGUGCGGGUUCCUGCACUCGAAAAAUGCCGCGAAAUACAAAGGGUAAAUUCCCAGUCACGAUAGGAAAAGCAGAAAAUAGCUCUGAAUCCCCUUGGUUUACAGGCCGAGAUUGUGCCACCAUCAGUCUGCUUUCUUUCGUGCAAACAGAUGUAAUCGCCGCUAUCGCAAGCCAAGGCGUGAUGUCUGAGAAUGCUGUUGAAAUUGGCUGUUUGCAGCGGCGUACUCUGUUGGUGAAAUAUAUAAGGUCUUAUUUUUAUGAAACAUUCGAAAUUUGGCAGUCCCACUUGACGCAGCCCCUACCACGAGAACAGUGAUGCAAUGGAAAAAGAACUGAAGCCAAAGUUCAAUUUCACGCAGCUGAUAGCCUUCCCUACAGCACGCACUGAAGAUCAGAUACAGACUGCGAACCAGAAAAAAUGUUUUGAUCGGGAGAGGAAUAAAAUAUUUUGAUGGGGAGAGGAAUAUUUCAAAAUGGCAUUUCAAUGGCAAAUCAUUAGAUGAGCAAUUCCUGUUAAAAGUGAAAUGAAAUAAAAAAGUUAAUAUAAGGUUUAAGCUGCUGCAUUCACCCUCGCUAUAAUGGCAGUAAUAUGAGACAUGGAUCCUGAUAAUUGAACAGGUGUGGUAUAUAAAUACACACACAGGCACACACACACACAGGCGCACACAAACAUACACACGCAAACACGCGCACACAAAACACACACUCUCUGUCUCUGUCUCACACACAAUAAAACCUUUAAACCAAUGCCCUCCUUGAUGAUUUUUCAUCAUUUGUGUCAAAUAACAGUAACACGAUAAUAGUAAUAAUAAUAAUAAUAAUAAUAAUAAUAAUAAUAAUAAAUAAACACAUACAUAAAUUAAUAACAUUCUGUAAUUGAACUGUAACAGUAUUUAGAUAGUCAGGUAUUUAUUUUCACUACAGAAUCGAACAGAUACACCCAUUGAUUAAUUUAACAGUACAAACAGCCUGCCUACAGCCACCAGCAUUUCUCUGUAAAACAAAACAGAGAAAACAAUGAAACUACAACCACAGACUUCCCAAAACUGAGUCAAUUCCAGCAAAUGGAGAAGUUAGGCCAAAUUCAACAUGUACAAACUUGAUGCUCCUAUUCCGUCUCUACUGUUGAUGUGUGUGUGCGUGCCAGUAUGCACGGGUGCUUGUAUGUGUGUGUGUGUGUGUGUGUGUGUGUGUUGUGCGUGUGUGUGUGUUUCCUAGAAUGAUUCUUCCUUAUGACUACAUAUAUUUAAUAAAAAUGAAUACAUUCAUCAAAUAUUAGAACUUAUUUGUCUUAACCACAAACAUAAACGUGAUACAGAAGUGUACUUUAUACAAUAUGCAUAAUAUAAUCGUGUCUGUGGCCAAGAAAAUUACAGUCCACUGAAGAUACUUUAAUUUAUUAAAUCAUUCAUCAAGAUCUUAGUGGUAAAGAAAGAAGACAGAAUGAUAAAAUAUAUACAAACAGUCAAAUACAAAGCUAUUUUUACUUUUGUUUAUGUUCCAUUGUGUGAAAAGCCAAGCUGGUUUGCGCAAUCUCAGCUUUCACUAUGACAGUGUCCUCUGCCAAACAGCUUUACAAUCCUCCUUCCAAAAAGACACUCCCUUUCGAAUAAUUCUGGAUCAUGUUUUUCGGUAAAUCACAGCGGUGUGUCAUCUUGCCAUUCAGCAAACACAUUAGAUAAAGUCUAAGUGGACAAAACUAUCUGAGAGUACACUGCCGCCCUCUGGUGGACAAUAUUAUAUGCAUUUCAUAAUGCGGUAUAGUUCCAAUUUUUCAGUGUUCAUGUCUUUCUAAAUUGUUUCUGCGGAUACUGAAUUUGUCUUCCGCAGUCUACCCCUGGUAUGUUUUGUAUUUACAAACUUUUCACAUACUGUAGAGACACUGAAUUCCGUGGAGUAUUUAAUAACUCACUAAACAUUUUCACAUAUUCAAAGGUCACUGCGGCCACAGAUUGUUAACAACAGUCUUCAUCUUUCACUCCCUUUGUUAUAAUUGUGCACCAUUAUGAACUCUGGCUUUCAGACAAUCUCGUAAAUAUGUCUUUAUGCUCAAUGGGAGUGUGAGGGAGUGGUUAUGGACUCUGAAGAUCAAAUUUCAACUCUCGGGUGGGGCGCAUUGAAUUACUGAAUUGCUUGGGUAAACAUAACAUGAAUUUGACUAUGGCAUAUGCAUUUUCCUGUAUCAGUGAUCCUGCUGUAGAAUCAAAUAAACCGGAGGGUCUGAUUAUCACAUAAACAUCGGUAUAUCUCAGCGGGUUUUCGUAUCUAGUCUACAUGGGAAUAUUUUUUUCUAAAUUUCCUUGAAGGCUACCACAAGUCACAUUUCCUGUGGAAUUACCUAUGCUGAUAGCACCCUCUAUUGACAGGUUUAUGUUUAACACACCCAGGCUUUGGUGGGUUUUUUCCAUUGGGAAAUGAUCUGGGAAACCCUAAAUACCAAAGCGAUCUUGGUCCUUUUAAAAGGAUAUUGUGACACUCGUAGACGCUGUAUUGAAAUAUUAUGCAAGACCAUGAUUCUUUUAGUUUUACCAAAAUUGUCAUACAUCUGAGAAUAUAAUUUCCAAAUUUAGCGAAAUUAAAAAUAAACUACAAAUGAUAGGCUAGAUAGGCCUACCAGUUUGUCUCCACCAUGUGACCUGCAGGGAUUUAAACUUGUAUUUCAAUGGAUAUCCUCCAGGGGUCUCUAGUCAAGUGUCCAAUUGAACAAUUGAGUUUCUAAAUAAGUCACUCAUAAAAACACUUAGUUGUUCUAAUAUGGGGAGAGUCCAGCGACGAUGGAUGGAAGUUCAAAUGCAACAAAAAGCAUCGUCUUUGUGCCAGUGCUGCUCAUUCCUGGUCACGGAGAGCUGCAGGGUCUGCUGGCUUUUGCUGUCACUCAGAAUUUGAGUAGCACAGCAAUUUAUUAAUUAAAACAGUUGAUUACAGUCAACUCACCUGGUUUCUUGGGUCAGAACUGGUUGGUGAUCUUAAGGGAAAAAAAAAAAAACAGAAACCUGCAGUCUCUGUGGCUCUCCUGGAUUGAGCAUCACUGGAAAAAGAAAAAUGCAUCUAUACACAGCAGGGGUGUCCAAUCUCAUCCUAAAAGGGCUGGUUGUAGCUGAAGAUUUUUGUUUUAGCCUAGCACUAAGAUGCCAGAUUCUACUUAAAGCCUUGAUUGAAGACCAUGAUUAAUGAAUUAGUUGAAUUGUUCUUUAUUUUUUUGAACUUUUUUUAGUGCAGGUUAAAUGUUAUAUAACUGCUCUCGUUUUUAAUGUGGGCAUUUCCCACUGCUUCUGAUGAAACCUAUCAUGCCUCUGUACAGCCUUUGAAAAUACCGUUGCUUGUAAACUGUGACUCAUAAUCUGUGCUUAUUAGUGGCAAUUACUUUAUCAACUUAAUGAAGCAGUGGAAAUAGGAUAAUUUUUGAGAAGUGGCUUGAUAAAGGGGCUAUCAUGACCUCUAGCUGAGGACUGAAGUACAAUGCGAGAAAACAAAGGGAGAUAAACUGGUUUCCCAGUAUAUGAAGGACUUUUACCUGUUCACUUGAAUCUCCCUUUGGUGUGAUCUUCCAGACUUGAGAUGCUCUAUUAGCAAAAUUUACUGUAUUGCCCAUUAUACAUUACUACUGACUAUUUGUAAAAUUGUUCAUUUCAGUCAGUGGUAUCAGGCUACAUAUGGAUGCCUUGUUCUCACUGACUGCAUAGUAGACAAAUCCACACCGUUAUCAAUGAUGUAUGGAUUGGAGUACAUACUGGAGUGCUUUUACAGAAGAGAGGACGAAUGUAAACCAUGAAAAAUGCAGUGUUUUCCCCCAAAAAACUUUUUUUCAGGCCUGGUGGUAGGGCUGCCAGACUUAGAACCGGCCACCAUACAAAUGCACACGUUGGUCUUCUCUGUUUACCUCAAUGGUCUUGAUGAAUGAUUUAAUAAAUUAAUGUAUCUUUAGUGGACUGUAAUUUUCUUGGCCACCGACAGGAUUAUAUUAUGCGUAUUAUAUAAAGUACACUUUUAUUAUUACUGUAUCACGUUUAUGUUUGUGGUUAAGACAAAUAAGUUUUAAUAUUUCAAAAACAUGUAUUCAUAUUUAUUAAAUAUAUGUAGUCAUAAGGAAGAAUCAUGCUAGGACACACACACACACAAAGUUAGAUGACCUGUGGGGAGGGGGGGAAUCAAGCUUGAAGCUUGAAUGUGAAUGUGGGGAAUUUUUGUGCAAAACAGAUUCAUCACAGCGCUGUUAGCCAGCGUUCACUAGCUAGCCGAGAGGCAGUAUCCAUGCAACACUAGCUAGCCGAGAGGCAGUAUCCAUGCAACACUAGCUAGCCGAGAGGCAGUAUCCAUGCAACACUAGCUAGCCGAGAGGCAGUAUCCAUGCAACACUAGCUAGCCGAGCGGCAGUAUCCAUGCAACACUAGCUAGCUAGCUGAUUAUUUACAGUUGAUGCAAUAGCAUUAUGUAUGUACUCUUUCGUGGCCUCAGGUUUCCCAGGCAAAGACACAGAAGCAGACUCACGAAUCACAACAGCGCCCCGCAGAGGCUCCCGAGCGCAAAUGACUAUUUAUUUCCGAACUAAUAGGUACAUUACCGUUGCCACAGAAAAUUAUUUGCUGGCCUGGCAACCUGCCAGGUCUGUACAAUUAUAAAUGAAACAUUGAUGCAAAGGAAUGCAAAAUGUGAGAUCUUUCUGACAUUGACACAUAUCAGCUGUGUAAUAUAUGGUGGUUUUCCACGUCAUAAAAAGGUUGACCACUGAAAUUUAAAAUUAUUUACGGCUCUAGGACAAAAAUCUACUUUUUUUUUGCAGUCAAAAAUAAACGAAGCCAAAUUCAUACCUCUUAGAACACUUUAUUUGGAUGACACGUUCACGUCAAAUGGACCCACAACAGAUGCAGACCAAUUCUACAAGUCCGGCUAUUCCUGCCAAAAUAAUCAUAAACAACCCAGGAAGCAAACGAGAAUAUUUCAUGGAUCCGGGUGGUUCUCUUUGUGUCUGUAACCCGAUCAAAUUUCCCUCACAUAUUAAUGAACAUUUGUGUGAUGAGAUGGCUCUUAAAUCACAGGAGAUAUCACGUCCGUGUUGGCAGUGCCCUCUUCAACUGCAUUUUUAUGAUGAGCAUGAUAUUAAACAUCUUUCAAAAAAAAAAAAAAAGCUACAAACCCAAAA